UAUAUAUGUUGUGGCAAACUAUGGUGAGAUAAUUGAUAUUACUAAUGCGAGGAAACAUAGAGGGAAACUUAAGAAGACUUUAUUUAAAGUUAUAAACAGUGAUUUGAAUACUCUUGAUUCAACUAAGGAUUUUGCAGUGUACAAAGCAUAAAUGGUGAAAAAGAUUCAUGUAGUUGAUCUCAAAUAGUUUGGACAUCUCAAAUACUUUUAUUUUUUUGUCUAAGUGGCCAAGCAUGAUUCUAUAACUUGUGUAAUGGGUAAAGUUGGUGGAAUCACCCUUCUCUAUUUUCUUUUGGUUCAUCUAUUUUGCUAUUAAAAUUAAGUUUUCUAUUUUUUUAACAACACAUCUUUGAUCGAGAGACAAUAUAUUGUUUGCUGGUAUAUUUUGACAAAGUAAAAAAUCUCCUGUCCAAUUUAAAACAAUUAAACCUGUCACGACCCGAGUCUGAUGAGCCAACUGGCCAAUAACUCCAUUUUGGUCCUUCAACCACGGACUAAAAUGCUUAAGCGGGAGUUAACGUAGUACACUCAUCAGGCCCAUAUAAGCCAAUCAUACACAUUGCCCACUUCCGAUGUGGGACUGAUGGGAUGUUAUAAUAUCCCCAACUCAAUUAGCUUGACGUCCUUGUCAAGGCCUGACAUAACCCAGAUCGAACCCUAACAUAGUGCAUGUGAGGUUUAACUCAGUGGUGGCUCCACGCCGUGAUGAGUUCUCGACUCCAUCCACGGGUAGCCCUUUCCUACUCGAGCCCUCUCACCCUGCCCAAAUGUUAGGUCGGCUUUGAUACCAAAUGUCACGACCCGAGUCUGAUGAGCCAACUGGCCAAUAACUCCAUUUUGGUCCUUUAACCACGGACCAAAAUGCUUAAGCGGGAGUUAACGUAGUACACUCAUCAGGCCCAUAUAAGCCAAUCAUACACAUUGCCCACUUCCGAUGUGGGACUGAUGGGAUGUUACAAAACCUAAGAAAGAUAAAAGUGAUGUGUUUCAUAUUUGACUUUUUUCUUUUAUUUCAUGACAGGUUACUGCAGCUCUAAGAGAAGGAGCUAAUGGUGUCAUGGUUGGUCGUGCU
rnacentral:lncRNA from 1 species